rnacentral:rRNA from 1 species
AGUGAACGCUGGCGGUAGGCCUAACACAUGCAAGUCGAACGGCAGCACAGUAAGAGCUUGCUCUUACGGGUGGCGAGUGGCGGACGGGUGAGGAAUACAUCGGAAUCUACUUUUUCGUGGGGGAUAACGUAGGGAAACUUACGCUAAUACCGCAUACGACCUACGGGUGAAAGCAGGGGAUCUUCGGACCUUGCGCGAUUGAAUGAGCCGAUGUCGGAUUAGCUAGUUGGCGGGGUAAAGGCCCACCAAGGCGACGAUCCGUAGCUGGUCUGAGAGGAUGAUCAGCCACACUGGAACUGAGACACGGUCCAGACUCCUACGGGAGGCAGCAGUAGGGAAUAUUGGACAAUGGGCGCAAGCCUGAUCCAGCCAUGCCGCGUGAGUGAAGAAGGCCUUCGGGUUGUAAAGCCCUGUUGUUGGGAAAGAAAAGCAGCAGAUGAAUACCCCGCUGUUCUGACGGUACCCAAAGAGUAAGCACCGGCUAACUUCGUG